rnacentral:rRNA from 1 species
CACGUAGGGUGCGAGCGUUGUCCGGAAUUAUUGGGCGUAAAGAGCUCGUAGGCGGUGUGUCGCGUCGGCCGUGAAAACCUGCAGCUCAACUGUGGGCUUGCGGUCGAUACGGGCAUCACUGGAGUUCGGCAGGGGAGACUGGAAUUCCUGGUGUAGCGGUGGAAUGCGCAGAUAUCAGGAGGAACACCAAUAGCGGAAGGCAGCUCGCUGGGACGGUACUGACGCUAAGGCGCGAAAGCGUGGGGAGCGAACAGG